rnacentral:tRNA from 1 species
AAAUAAGAACUAAACUCUUAAUUUCGACUUAAGAUAAGAAAUUAAAUAUUUCCUUAUUUA